GUCUGUGGCCAUACCACCCUGAACGCGCCCGAUCUCGUCUGAUCUCGGAAGCUAAGCAGGGUCGGGCCUGGUUAGUACUUGGAUGGGAGACCACCUGGGAAUACUGGGUGCUGUAGGCU
ensembl:rRNA 5S_rRNA 5S ribosomal RNA